rnacentral:sRNA from 1 species
GAUGCUGCCAGGGUCCCUGAAGAGGGAAGACACGCGGAAACAGGUUGUAGACAGACCCCUGUCUUGAGCAUCCUCCUUGCUAGGCCUGCUGAGUCUUCUGAGAGUAGGGUAGGUUAUUGGAUGCCCAGGAGGGAAGAAGGAGCCAGGGAGGUCGGCCCCGAGGUUCUGCAAGGCCCUCAACAGGCCUGGACUGGGGAGGUCUGGACAGCAUGGCCCUGUCCUGAGCCUCUGUGCGUAAUAACUGCGUCCCUAACCUCCACCCCACCCUCAGCCUUCCAAUUCCCGGGCCUGGGGCCCUACUCCUGUGCUCCAGAGACUCCUGGAGCUCCUUGAGGCAGCACACAGCCCUGCUCUGGAGGCACCCAUCUCCCACUCAUGCUGGGAUGCUCCAGCCCAUCCCAGAGCAGGGUGUGGCUGGAGGGUGCUGGCAGAGGAGGGACAAUGGCCUGGCUCCUGGAGGCAAGUGUUGGCUGCAGGGAACGGAGUUUAGUCCUUGCCACAGCCCUUGUUACCCCUUAGGUAACCUUAAGGGGAUUUCAAAGAACACUGGCUCUGCAACCCUGCUAAGUUUUUUAUGGAACAUGUAAAAUAGAUCCCAUGGCCA